CCCUUAGAUGUUCUGGGCCGCACGCGCGCUACACUGACGAAGUCAGCGAGCAUGUCCUACGCCGACAGGUGCGGGGAAUCUUGUCAAACUUCGUCGUGAUGGGGAUUGAUUAUUGAAAUUCUUGAUCAUCAACGAGGAAUUCCUAGUAAGCGCAAGUCAGCAGCUUGCGUUGAUUACGUCCCUGCCCUUUGUACACACCGCCCGUCGCUACUACCGAUUGAAUGGUUUAGUGAGAUCUUCGGAUUGGCGCCACUGCGGCUCAGCAAUGGGCUCGGUGGAUGCCGAAAAGUUGAUCAAACGUGAUCAUUUAGAGGAAGUAAAAGUCGUAACA
rnacentral:rRNA from 1 species